rnacentral:rRNA from 1 species
CGCCUUAUACAUGCAAGUCGAACGAAGUAGCAAUACUUAGUGGCAGACGGGUGAGUAACAUGUAGGUAUCUUCCCUUUGGUGAGGAAUAACACGAGGAAACUUGUGCUAAUACCUCAUAAGUCUUUACGGAGAAAGCUUUAUGCGCCAUGGGAUGAGCCUGCACUUGAUUAGUUUGUUGGUGGGGUAAUGGCCUACCAAGACUUUGAUCAAUAGCUGAUCUGAGAGGAUGAUCAGCCACAUUGGGACUGAGACACGGCCCAAACUCCUACGGGAGGCAGCAGUAGGGAAUAUUGCACAAUGGAGGAAACUCUGAUGCAGCGAUGCCGCGUGAGUGAAGAAGGCCUUUGGGUUGUAAAGCUCUUUCGUCGGGGAAGAAAAUGACUGUACCCGAAUAAGAAGGUCCGGCUAACUUCGUGCCAGCAGCCGCGGUAAUACGAAGGGACCUAGCGUAGUUCGGAAUUACUGGGCUUAAAGAGUUCGUAGGUGGUUAAAAAAGUUGGUGGUGAAAUCCCAGAGCUUAACUCUGGAACUGCCAUCAAAACUUUUUAGCUAGAGUGUGAUAGAGGAAAGCAGAAUUUCUAGUGUAGAGGUGAAAUUCGUAGAUAUUAGAAAGAAUACCAAUUGCGAAGGCAGCUUUCUGGAUCAUUACUGACGCUGAGGAACGAAAGCAUGGGUAGCGAAGAGGAUUAGAUACCCUCGUAGUCCAUGCCGUAAACGAUGUGUGUUAGACGUUGGAAAUUUAUUUUCAGUGUCGCAGCGAAAGCAUUAAACACACCGCCUGGGGAGUACGACC